rnacentral:rRNA from 1 species
AUUUAAACAUCAUUAAGUAGUAAAAUUAUCCAUAAAAACUUAUACAUCAUGGCGGCAUUUCAUCUAUUUAGAGGAACCUGUCUUUUAAUCGACACUCCACGAUAUCUUUAACUUUUUCAAAAAAAAUUUACAUACCGUCAUCUUUAAAUAAAUUUAAAAAUACAAUUUACGAAAUAAAUCUAAAAAGAUAGAUCAAGGCGUAAUCCACAAAAAAGUUAAGAUGUGUUACUUUAAACACAAUUUAAGGAUUAAAAAUAAAAAUUUACAAACAAAAAGGAUUUAAAAGUAAUUCAUUAAAAAUUAAUUAAUAAUGAAACAGAUUAUUAAUGUGC